rnacentral:rRNA from 1 species
AGUGAACGCUGGCGGUAGGCCUAACACAUGCAAGUCGAAUGGCAGCACAGUAAGAGCUUGCUCUUACGGGUGGCGAGUGGCGGACGGGUGAGGAAUACAUCGGAAUCUACUUUUUCGUGGGGGAUAACGUAGGGAAACUUACGCUAAUACCGCAUACGACCUACGGGUGAAAGCAGGGGAUCUUCGGACCUUGCGCGAUUGAAUGAGCCGAUGUCGGAUUAGCUAGUUGGCGGGGUAAAGGCCCACCAAGGCGACGAUCCGUAGCUGGUCUGAGAGGAUGAUCAGCCACACUGGAACUGAGACACGGUCCAGACUCCUACGGGAGGCAGCAGUGGGGAAUAUUGGACAAUGGGUGCAAGCCUGAUCCAGCCAUACCGCGUGGGUGAAGAAGGCCUUCGGGUUGUAAAGCCCUUUUGUUGGGAAAGAAAAGCAGCAGGUUAAUACCCCGCUGUUCUGACGGUACCCAAAGAAUAAGCACCGGCUAACUUCGUG